rnacentral:lncRNA from 1 species
AGCUAACAUCCUACAGCUUGCAUACAUUCAAAGAAUGUCAGCAAUAGAAAAGCUCUUAGAAAUCAUUUAGUCCAAACACCUUAUUUUAUAAAGGAGCCUACCUCCAUACAACUGGAAACUAUUUCUUCUAACUCCCAGUGGAGGACUCUAUCCAUAGUACCUUUUACCACCAAAGACAAGUUAUUUGGCCAUCCCUGGGAAAGGGAUUAAAGAAGUGCCAUGGUUGGGGGCCCACCUUGUUUAACACCACCAGCCUCCUCAUUCAACCAGCUCCAGGGGCUCCAGAUUACAUGCCUAAUGGUUGCUUUGGGUGCUAAAACAGUAUGUCACAAUUAUGGGUAUCCUUUUUAGAGAGGUCAUUGUUGCAUUAUAUGGCACUAGACAGAAUAUUCCAUUCUAUAAUUUCCACUGGGCACUCUUGUAAAGUCGUGUGCCAAAUCAACAUAGCCAAGUUCUAUUCUCUCUGGUUCUUCAUUCUUGCUGACGUUAGAUACAAGAACAUGAAUUCGGUCUCACUAACCAACUCUUCAAACAACUCUUAAAAACAGUAAACCAUGUCUCUCCUCUUUAACAUUUCUGUCUUCAGGCUUUGUACCCAUCAGUUUGGAAAUGGUGAUGUCAGAAGUCUACACCCUCAUCUAUUAAUUUUCUGGAGGACAAAGUUGUUCAGGGAUUUCCAAAAUGCCACAGCCACAAAGGAAGGAAAGCUUUAAAGUCAUGAGAAAUGUUACAGUAUCCCUGGGUGUUUCAGUUCCUCAGCCCGUCACUAGUAAAGGAAACAUCUAUUUUAUUUGGCCAUCCUUUCCUUAUCAGACACUGCAACCUCCAAUAAAAUGCACCCAAUUUUAUGAAGUCAUAAUGAAACAAGGAAGCAUAGCAUGCCACAGUUGGAUAGGCUUCAGC